UGUAAGCGAAUACCAAAGUUGUUGCAGUUAAAACGCUCGUAGUCGGAAUUUGGCAGUUCCGGAUGUGUGCACGUCGUGUGCGCACUUCGCGGGGAUUGCUUUUGUGGUCUUGCGUAGGAUGAGGCACUUUUAUUAGUGAACGUCCUCACGCAACCACUUUUUACUGUGAGAAAAUCAGAGUGCUCAAAGCAGGCAUUUGCCGUGAAUGUAUUAGCAUGGAAUAAUAGAAUAGGACUUGGUUCUAUUUUGUUGGUUUGUUGGGACUGAGUAAUGAUUAAGAGGGACAGUUGGGGGCAUUUGUAUUUCGGUGCUAGAGGUGAAAUUCUUAGAUUACCGAAAGACAAACUGCUGCGAAAGCGUCUGCCAAGGAUGUUUUCAUUGA
rnacentral:rRNA from 1 species